rnacentral:rRNA from 1 species
GACGAACGCUGGCGGCGUGCUUAACACAUGCAAGUCGAACGGAAAGGCCCUGCUUUUGUGGGGUGCUCGAGUGGCGAACGGGUGAGUAACACGUGAGUAACCUGCCCUUGACUUUGGAGAACUUCAGGAAACUGGGGCUAAUACCGGAGAGGAGCUCCUGCAGCAGGGUGGGGGUUGGAAAGUUUCGGCGGUUGGGGAUGGACAUGCGGCGUAUCAGCUUGUUGGUGGGGGUGUGGCUUACCAAGGCUUUGACGGGUAGCCGGCCUGAGAGGGUGGCCGGCCACAUUGCGACUAAGGUACGGCCCAGACUCCUACGGGAGGCAACAGUGGAGAGUAUUGCACAAUGGGCGGAAGCCUGAUGCAGCAACGCCGCGUGCGGGAUGACGGCCUUCGGGUUGUAAACCGCUUUCGCCUGUGACGAAGCGUGCGUGACGGUAAUGGGUAAAGAAGCACCGGCUAACUACGUG